CCCAGGUCAACCUCCAAUCCCUAUAGUCCUCAUUACCCAGGUCUACCUCCAAUCCCUAUAGUCCUCAUUACCCAGGUCCACCUCCAAUCCCUAUAGUCCUCAUUACCCAGGUCUACCUCCGAUCCCUAUAGUCCUCAUUACCCAGGUCCACCUCCAAUCCCUAUAGUCCUCAUUACCCAGGUCUACCUCCAAUCCCUAUAGUCCUCAUUACCCAGGUCUACCUCCGAUCCCUAUAGUCCUCAUUACCCAGGUCUACCCUAUAGUCCUCAUUACCCAGGUCUACCUCCGAUCCCUAUAGUCCUCAUUACCCAGGUCUACCUCUGAUCCCUAUAGUCCUCAUUACCCAGGUCUACCUCUGAUCCCUAUAGUCCUCAUUACCCAGGUCUACCCUAUAGUCCACAUUACCCAGGUCCACCUCCAAUCCCUAUAGUCCUCAUUACCCAGGUCCACCUCCAAUCCCUAUAGUCCUCAUUACCCAGAUCUACCUCCAAUCCCUAUAGUCCUCAUUACCUAGGUCCACCUCCAAUCCCUAAUAGUCCUCAUUACCCAGGUCUACCUCCAAUCCCUAUAGUCCUCAUUACCCAGGUCUACCUCCAAUCCCUAUAGUCCUCAUUACCCAGCCCAAUCCCUAUUGUCCCCAGUAACCAGCUGUCUUGAAUUGUUAUUUGCUAGAAGUGUAAAGUCAUUAUGCUUUACAGAGAAUUAAUCAUAUUUACUGAAAUCCUUAAGCUAGGUAACCAAGUGUCAAUAAUGUUAAUGGAUUGAUCAGGAGUACUGGACCAUUUGAAAAUAUGACAAAAUGACUGAUGGGAACAAAAAUGAUUCAUAAAUAUGCUAAUGUAUGAAAGUCACAAAAAAUUUGAAUAAAUCAAUGUUCAAAUCUAUGCACAACACAUUGUAAGGCCUGCACAUAAACACAAUUUUCUGGCCAUUGAACCCGCAAUACCAUUGAACACCUGUAAAGGACUUGUACAUAUACAUAAGGUACACCAGCGAUUAUAUCAUGUACAGUAAACCUUCAAACUGGUGUAAUGUUGUCCUCUUAAUUCUUACGACUUCCAAUAUGAUUUCACAAUCACCAAUUUAUCAUUGUAAUACACAAAAACAAUUAUCAAACUUACAGAAACUUAUCCUACAUUUUAGUAAAACAUAUCAUACAUUUGUAGGACCUAUUUUCUCUAUGUAGAACAAGAUCCCAAACACUUUCAGCAGACACAUUUUAAGUGGUACAAGAUUAUGUUAAAAGGACACUAUGAUUGUAUACAAGUUAGAUGGAGAAGAGUGUGACAAUGCGAUCUGUACAGAAGAACAUUACCGCCAUCAAUUAUACACCUAUAUUAAAAAUAACUACAGUUAUGCUAUGGGUUCUUGAAUACAGAGAAACAAAUAUCAUCAGAUAUAAGUGUAUAAUUGAUGGCGGUAUUGCUCUUUCGUAGACCACAACUACUACCAAGUAUAUGGAUGUCUUAGAUUGUGUACGCCUUCCUAUACAGUGGGCUCACCAUUUGUAAAUUAUCAAUAGAUAGAUGGUAAAUGAAUUCUAAGAGAAAGACAGAAUUUGCUUGUAGGACAUUUAAGGGCAUGAUGACCCAGUUACUAUACAUAUAUUGCUAUAGAUUUCUGUAGCUGUGAUCACGGGCCUUAAUGGUCACCUGAGUCUUAAACAUGUAACUAUUUUUUUGAUGUAUUUACAAUGAAUUUCUAAAUAGUUCCUAUAUAAAUAACAGUAAAGUUUUGCCCCUCAUAAUAAUUCUAACCAAUUUUGAUUAAUUUUCAUUAAAAUGUGAUUUUCCUACAUCAAACAUAGUUCAGCACCUCUCCAGGGAGAAAUAUUUGAGAAACCUGCAACUCAUGCUGUAAAUGUGGCUAAUUAUCAUUUGUGGUGUGUCACAGCAAUGAAAGAAAAAUCAUCUGAAUUGCAAUUUUUGGAUAAUUUUGAAUUUUGUCUGGAAAACAUUUUUCAAAGUGUGAUAUCCGAGUCAUUUAUGAUUAUUUGACCUAAAACUUGCACACACCUUCAUACGAGCAGGUUUUUUAAAAUGUGACCCAAAUAAACCAUUUUGAAAGAAUUUUGAAUUUUUUUGUUUUCAUCAUUUGACCCCCAAGACCUUAAUUGAAUUAAGGUCAAGGUCAAUGAUAAGCAUCAUAUUUGUAGCAAUUAAACCAUACAUGCUAUCGAUUAGCCUUAGAUUCCAUUGGUCCAGACACCAUGUCUGGUGUAGGCUCAGAGCGCACUACUAUAUGAAAACAUGGAAUUCUCCGACACUGUGAAAUUUGUACAAGUGUAAAGCAAGGGUCUAUAGGGACGGAAAUGAACAAUGAUAUGGAACGAAAUUGGUGUUUAAGGGUAAAUCAAUAUAUCAUUUAUCUAUAUAUGUAAGGUAGGUGUUGUGUCAUACCCGAUUUUAUUGUAUUUGCACCAAAAUCUUAGCGACACCAAAUGUUGUCAGAAUUCCACGUUUUCAUAUAGUAGUGAGCUCUGGACCUUCACCAGACACGAUGUCAGGGCCAGAGGAAACUCGGGCAAGCUAUCGAUGUGCCAAAAAUCAAGCCUUCCUAUGUAUAGAUAAAGGAACAGAAAACUUUUAUAUGCAAGUUUGGGCAAUUUUUGAAUUUGGCGGGAAACACUUUGCUUUUUUUUCCCCUAUAUGUCUGUAUUUUUCUAUCUGAUGAUCAUAAAAUUUGCACAUUCUGUUUCAGUGAAUCAUGUUCUUUCAUAUAUGAUGAAAAGUUAUUCAAUUUGAGAUUUUUAUUUUUGACCUACUUUUAAUCCCUUAGCAAGGCCUUGGAACAUUCUCUGGUCACAUUCUCUGGUAGGAAGACUAAAAAUGGUUCAAGAGUUUUCGAGAAGAAGUCAAAAAUGUGAAAAUGUUAACUAACAAUGGAUGACGGACGACAGACGACAAACGACAACGGACAAAACCAGAUUGGAAAAAGUCACUGAGCUUUGCUCAGGUGACCUUAAAAAAAUACAACAGAUUUGAUUGCAUAUGUAUGCGUAGUCACAUAUAAUCUGGACCUUCUCUUAUCACAAUUACAGGUGAAGGCACACAAAACUGACGGGAAACACAUACAACAUGUCCGCCACAUUAUUCUUACGAUAUCCUAAUCAGUCCCUGGACUGAUACACAACAGGAAGACAAAAAAACAUUUCUGGUUACAAGAACAGAUAUCUUAUAACAAAACAACAAUUUCCUGUAGCAAUAUGCAAAAUUCAAAGCUCCAAAAAAAA